rnacentral:rRNA from 1 species
CCCUUAGAUGUUCUGGGCCGCACGCGCGCUACACUGAUGCAUUCAACGAGUUUCUUCCUGGUCCGAGAGGAAUGGGUAACCUUUUGAAAGUGCAUCGUGAUAGGGAUAGACUAUUGCAAUUAUUGGUCUUCAACGAGGAAUUCCUAGUAGACGUAGUUCAUCAGACUGCAUCGAUUACGUCCCUGCCCUUUGUACACACCGCCCGUCGCACCUACCGAUUGAAUGGUCCGGUGAAGCCUCGGGAUUGUGGCCAGUUCACUUUAUUGGGAGUUGGCUGUGAGAACUUGUCUAAACCUUAUCAUUUAGAGGAAGGUGAAGUCGUAACA